AUUGAACGCUGGCGGCAGGCCUAACACAUGCAAGUCGAGCGGAGCGGCGGACGGGUUAGUAAUGCCUAGGACUCUGUCUGGUAGUGGGGGAUAACGUCCGGAAACGGGCGCUAAUACCGCUUACUAUCAGAUGAGCCUCGGUCGGAUUAGCUUGUUGGUGGGGUAAAGGUCUACCAAGGCGACGAUCCGUAACUGGUCUGAGAGGAUGAUCAGACACACUGGAACUGAGACACGGUCCAGACUCCUACGGGAGGCAGCAGUGGGGAAUAUUGGACAAUGGGCGAAAGCCUGAUGCAGCCAUGCCGCGUGUGUGAAGAAGGUCUUCGGAUUGUAAAGCACUUUAAGUUGGGAGGCGUUACCAACAGAAUAAGCACCGGCUAACUUCGUGCCAGCAGCCGCGGUAAUUC
rnacentral:rRNA from 1 species